CCUACGGGUGGCAGCAGUAGGGAAUCUUCCACAAUGGGCGAAAGCCUGACGCAGCGACGCCGCGUGAGGGAUGAAGGUCUUCGGAUCGUAAACCUCUGUCAGCAGUGAAGAACGGUCACUGUACUAAUCAGCAGUGAAUUGACGGUACCUGCAAAGGAAGCACCGGCUAACUCCGUGCCAGCAGCCGCGGUAAUACGGAGGGUGCGAGCGUUAAUCGGAAUUACUGGGCGUAAAGCGCUCGUAGGCGGUACGUCAAGUCAAGGGUGAAAUCCCCGGGCUCAACGUGUGAACUGCAUUUGAAACUGGUAAACUGGAGUGUGUGAGAGGAUAGUGGAAUUCCAGGUGUAUGGGUGAAAUGCGUAGAUAUCUGGAGGAACAUCAGUGGCGAAGGCGACUAUCUGGCACAUAACUGACGCUGAGGAGCGAAAGCGUGGGUAGCGAACAGGAUUAGAUACCCGUGUAGUC
rnacentral:rRNA from 1 species